CCCUUAGAUGUUCUGGGCCGCACGCGCGCUACACUGAUGCAUUCAACGAGCCUAUCCUUGACCGACAGGUCCGGGUAAUCUUUGAAUCUGCAUCGUGACGGGGAUAGAUUAUUGCAAUUAUUAAUCUUCAACGAGGAAUGCCUAGUAGGCGCAAGUCAUCGGCUUGCGUCGAUUACGUCCCUGCCCUUUGUACACACCGCCCGUCGCUCCUACCGAUUGAUUGAUCCGGUGAAUUACAUAGAAUUUUGCGUUUUACAUGACGGAAGACGAAGUGUUUUAAACCUUAUCAUUUAGAGGAAGGAGAAGUCGUAACA
rnacentral:rRNA from 1 species